CCUACGGGAGGCAGCAGUGAGGAAUAUUGGUCAAUGGACGAAAGUCUGAACCAGCCAAGUAGCGUGAAGGAUGACUGCCCUAUGGGUUGUAAACUUCUUUUAUAUGGGAAUAAAAUGUUCCACGUGUGGGAUUUUGUAUGUACCAUAUGAAUAAGGAUCGGCUAAUUCCGUGCCAGCAGCCGCGGUAAUACGGAGGAUCCGAGCGUUCUCCGGAUUUAUUGGGUUUAAAGGGAGCGUAGGUGGAUUGUUAAGUCAGUUGGGAAAGUUUGCGGCUCAACCGGAAAAUUGCAGUUGAAACUGGCAGUCUUGAGUACAGUAGAGGUGGGCGGAAUUCGUGGUGUAGCGGUGAAAUGCUUAGAUAUCACGAAGAACUCCGAUUGCGAAGGCAGUUCACUGGACUGCAACUGACACUGAUGCUCGAAAGUGUGGGUAUCAAACAGGAUUAGAUACCCCUGUAGUC
rnacentral:rRNA from 1 species